CCCGNGGCGAGGAGCAGCGCAGGGCCACCGAGUCCCGCGUGGGCAGCCUNNNNNNNNNNNNNNNNNNNNGGUGAGCGGCCCCGGGGGCUGAGGGGCUCCUGAGGGGGCUGAGGGGAAGGGAUGUGUCACCCCUUGAUCCAGCCCUGGGCAUCUCCAACACACCGGUGCUCUGGCUCCUGCAUCCUGGGGGUCUCCCAAACCCCGUUAUUCCAUCCCCGGAUCCUCACAAACCCCGUUAUUCCAUCCCUGGAUCCUCCCAAACCCCUUUAUUCCAUCCCUGCACCCCUGGAUCCUCACAAACCCCGUUAUUCCAUCCCUGGAUCCUCCCAAACCCCGUUAUUCCAUCCCUGCACCCCUGGAUCCUCACAAACCCCGUUAUUCCAUCCCUGGAUCCUCCCAAACCCCGUUAUUCCAUCCCCUGCACCCCUGGAUGCUCCCAAACCCCGUUAUUCCACCCCUGGAUCCUCCCAAACCCCGUUAUUCCAACCCUGCACCCCGGGGUUCCCUUCACUCCAUCCCCUGCCUCCCCACAUUUUUCCAUUCCCUGCCUUCCUGGUGUCCCCCGCUGCUCCGUCCCCUCCCCCCAGGCCGGUGUCCCCCUGCCACCCCUCUUGUCCNNNNNNNNNNNNNNNNNNNNNNCCCCAGGCGGGGGCCCGGAGGGGCCGGGCAGUCCCGGCUCGCUCCCGGAUCCCGAGGCCGAUCCCGAGGCGCUGCGGGCGGCGCUGCGGGAAUUCCUGCAGGAGCUGCAGGACGCGCAGCGGGAGCGGGAGGAGCUCCGGGUGCAGCUGGGCAGCCUGGGCCGGCGCCUGGCGGAGGCGGAGGCGGAGCGGGACAGCGCCGGGGCCCGCGCGCAGCGGCUCCAGAAACUGCUGGACGAGAGCGAGCAAGGUGCUGGGCAUUUUUGGGAACUGCGGGAUUCGGGGUGGUCUGGUGGCUGCUGGAGCCGCCACAGCGAGCAAGAGCUCGGAGGGAAACUGAGGCACAGGAAGGGGGGCGGUGCUGCCCAGAGCGGAGGAUGCUCCCCGGGAUUUCCUCCAAAAUCCUGGUGGGAAACCUCAUAAAUCCCUAUAAACCCCAGUAAAACCCUUCUCUGCCUCCUUUAAACACCAGUACAAAGUGGUAAAAAAUUCCAUAUAUCCUAAGCCAAAUAAAAUGGGUAAAACCCCUCUGCA
rnacentral:lncRNA from 1 species